AAGAAACAGCAGAGAGUCUGCAAAGAGGCAGACUAUGGUCAGAGGCCAGCUGAGUGCCCCUGAUUCUAAUGUUAUACCCUCAGCCUUUGCCGAGAACUUAGGCUCCCUGUUCUGGUACCCCACUUCACUUCUCCUGCAGUAUUUAUAUAUCAAUCUUCCUAUCACAAUCUCCUCUACCACUCAAUGGGGACAAGAGUAUAUCUGUUUUA
rnacentral:lncRNA from 1 species